rnacentral:rRNA from 1 species
GACGAACCGUACAAACGUUAUUCGGAAUCACUGGGCUUACAGGGUGCGUAGGCGGCGAUGCAAGUGAGGUGUGAAAUCCCUCAGCUCAACUGAGGAAUUGCGCUUCAAACUGCAUUGCUUGAGGAAGAUAGAGGUGAGCGGAACUACGGGUGGAGCGGUGAAAUGCGUUGAUAUCCGUAGGAACACCGGUGGCGAAAGCGGCUCACUGGGUCUUCUCUGACGCUGAGGCACGAAAGCUAGGGGAGCGAACGGG